AUGGUGCCGACAUUGGAGCCUUGCCUCCCCAUGUCGUACUCACCGGUGGAGUUAGUAUGCUGGAAUGUACGUGACCUUAAUAGUCCAGCUAGGAGGGAUGCGUUGAGGGAGCUAGCGGACUCUAUGCAUGUUUCGAUCUGGUGCAUCCUCGAGUCUAAACUGGAGCAUGUAGACCAAUAUGUGAUUAUGCAAUGUUUAGGACCAUCUUACGAUGGUUUUGCGUACUUGCCGGCUUCGGCCACUCGAGGUGGCAUCAUCAUCGCUUGGAACUCUUCCAUAGCGACGGUUUCUAACACGGUGCGCGACACUAACUUCAUCACGGGAUUUGUCACACAGAGGGAAGGAGCUUCUUGGUGGCUUUCGGUUGUAUAUGGGCCUCAAGAGGACCCUCAAAAGGUCAUGUUCUUGCAAGAGCUCUCGGACAGGAGGGCACUCUGCCUGGGACCUUGGAUGGUGAUAGGCGACUUGAACCUCACCCUCCAUGCGGCAGACAAGAACAACAAUCUGUUAGAUAGAAGGAUGAUGGGGAGAUUCAAACGGUUUGUGGAUGACAAUGCCCUCAAAGAGCUGUUCCUCCAUGGCAGGCGGUUUACGUGGAGCAAUGAAGGAGCGUUCCUACGAUGA
rnacentral:rRNA from 1 species